GCUGGCAGCUAGCUCUCUGAAACUCUUACAUGGUCGCCCACUAAAGCUAAGCAGCGCAGCGUCCGGUCAGUUCCUGGAUGGGGGACCACAUAGAAAAGCUAGGGUGCUGCCGUAA
rnacentral:rRNA from 1 species